rnacentral:rRNA from 1 species
AUUGAACGCUGGCGGCAUGCCUAACACAUGCAAGUCGAGCGGAGUGGCGGACGGGUGAGUAAUGCCUAGGAAUCUGCCUGGUAGUGGGGGAUAACGUCCGGAAACGGGAGCUAAUAUCGCAUACUAUCAGAUGAGUCUAGGUCGGAUUAGCUAGUUGGGGGGGGAAAGGCAUACCAUGGCGACGAACCGUAACUGGUCGGAGAGGAUGAUCAGUCAAACUGGAACUGAGACACGGUCCGGACUCCUACGGGAGGCAGCUGUGGGGAAUUUUGGACAAUGGGCGAAAUCCUGAUCCAGCCAUGCCGGUUGUGUUAAGAAGCUCUUCGGUUUGUAAGGCACUUUAAGUUGGGAGGCGUUACCAGCAGAAUAAGCACCGGCUAACUUCGUGCCAGCAGCCGCGGUAAUAC